AACUAUAACAGUCGAUGAAGAAAGGCUAUAGUUAAGUCAUCCGUUGCAGCAAGACUGGCUUGCCGGUCGACUCGCAUUGUGGGCGCUGUGGACAACAUCACGGCCGUUUUCACCACUCAUAUAGUGAUGUUUUUAAAGACUGAGGCUG
rnacentral:snoRNA from 1 species